GCAAGCCUGAUGCAGCCAUGCCGCGUGUAUGAAGAAGGCCUUCGGGUUGUAAAGUACUUUCAGCAGUGAGGAAGGCGGGUACGUUAAUAGCGUGCUUGUUUGACGUUAGCUGCAGAAGAAGCACCGGCUAACUCCGUGCCAGCAGCCGCGGUAAUACGGAGGGUGCGAGCGUUAAUCGGAAUUACUGGGCGUAAAGCGCAUGCAGGUGGUUUGUUAAGUCAGAUGUGAAAGCCCGGGGCUCAACCUCGGAAUUGCAUUUGAAAACUGGCAGACUAGAGUACUGUAGAGGGGGUAGAAUUUCAGGUGUAGCGGUGAAAAUGCGUAGAGAUCUGAAGGAAUACCGGUGGCGAAGGCGGCCCCCCUGGACAGAUACUGACACUCAGAUGCGAAAAGCGUGGGGAGCAAACAGGAUUAGAUACCCUGGUAG
rnacentral:rRNA from 1 species